UUGGGACAGAGACCUAUGGCCUGCAAAGCUGAACUAUUUACCAUCUGGCUCUCAAGAAAAGGGAAAAAAAAAUGCUUAUCUUUGUACCGCGACAGUCUUAGAUUAAGAGGACUUUGUACCACCCUGACGUCCCAGGCGGCCGUGAGUCCAGCCACCCCUGAAAUGUACACAAGUCUGGGCUAGGGUUGCAGCAGAUAACCUUCACUCUUCUCUGCAAUGAAUCCCAAAAGUAUGUAGUUGAGCUGACUGCAAGGUGCUUGAGAUGCAAGAGACUCCACAAAUGGGAUUCGGCCUCUGGAAAGUGGUGGUAGUUCCAGAUUUAUGUGGAUGUUACUUUGUUUUUCCCUAUAAAAUAUAUUCUUUAAACUAUCAA
rnacentral:lncRNA from 10 species